rnacentral:rRNA from 1 species
UAGGGUGACUAUAGCGGCAGGGCUCACCUCUUCCCAUUCCGAACAGAGAAGUUAAGCCUGCCUGCGCCGAUGGUACUGCAUAUCGUGGAAGAGUAGGUCGUCGCCAGUU